UGGCGGACGGGUGAGUAACGCGUAGGGAUGUGCCUAUGAGUACGGAAUAACCGUUGGAAACGACGGCUAAUACCGUAUACGCCCCAAGGGGGAAAGCUCCGGCGCUCAUAGAGCAACCUGCGUCCGAUUAGCUUGUUGGUGAGGUAAUGGCUCACCAAGGCCGCGAUCGGUAGCUGGUCUGAGAGGACGACCAGCCAGACUGGAACUGAGACACGGUCCAGACUCC
rnacentral:rRNA from 1 species